CCAGAGAAGGAUCGAAUUGAGUUAGGUUGCUAUAUCUUGAAAACGAUCUCGCUAUAGACAUACAUGAGCAAGAUUAAUUUCAUUUCUAGGAUAGUGUUCCUCAUAAACCUUGAUCCAGACAAGCAUUCAAUCUUUUGAUCUAAAAAAAAUUGUUACAAAAAAUUAAAAAUAUUAAUUUUUUCAAUAUUAGCAAUUUAUAGGCACCACACU
rnacentral:lncRNA from 1 species